GGCGGAGUAGAGCAGUUGGUAGCUCGUCGGCCCCAUAAGUCGAAGGUCCUCGGUUCGAAUCCGAGCUCCGCUA
rnacentral:tRNA from 1 species